AAUUCGAUGCAACGCGAAGAACCUUACCUAGGCUUGACAUGCAUUGAAAACUGUUAGAAAUAACAGGCCCGCAAGGGCUUUGCACAGAGUGGUGCAUGGCUGUCGUCAGCUCGUGUCGUGAGAUGUUGGGUUAAGUCCCGCAACGAGCGCAACCCUCGUCUUGUGUUGCCAUCAGGUAAUGCUGGGAACUCACAAGAGACUGCCGGGGUCAACUCGGAGGAAGGUGGGGACGACGUCAAGUCAUCAUGCCCCUUAUGUCUAGGGCUGCACGCAUGCUACAAUGGCCGAUACAAAGGGCUGCGAUACCGCAAGGUGGAGCGAAUCCCAUAAAGUCGGUUUCAGUUCGGAUUGAGGUCUGCAACUCGACCUCAUGAAGUUGGAGUUGCUAGUAAUCGUAGAUCAGCAACGCCGCGGUGAAUACGUUCCCGGGCCUUGUACACACCGCCCGUCACGUCACGAAAGUCGGUAACACCCAAAACCAGUGGUCCAACCGUAAGGGG
rnacentral:rRNA from 1 species